rnacentral:misc_RNA from 1 species
GCCCCCUGGGAGUGUUAAAUUGGAAGUUUUGCAAAUUAUUGCUACCAUACAUAUAUUUUAAACUAUCAAAUUUGAAAAAGCAAGUACAACUUGUUAGUUUAACAAUCAAAGAAACAGACACCACUAAACUAUUUCUCAUUUCGUUAAAAGAGCACUUCAUAAUGACAAUGCCAGAAAAUUUCCUACUUGAGUGUUAUCGUCAAAGUGACAGCUGGACUAUGAAGCAAGAGAUUGCAUACUUGUUCUCAUUCCAUUUCUUUUAUUUGGCUGCUUCAGAAGCUUCAGUUGUUUUAACUUCUCUUGGACACUGAGACACAUAAGGCUUUAGCUUAAAGUCAGUCAAAUCAGGGACGAUAUAGUUAGGCAAUUUCUCAGGCACAAUAACAUAUCCACCUUUGCGAGUGUGAAAACCGGUAGGCUUGCAAUUUUUCCCCUUGUAGUAAUCGCGAGGAGCACGUUUUGACGAGAGAAUGUCCAACGACGACGUUCGCUUUCUGCGCAUUGCCCUCCCUAUCCCCAGUAUCAGUCCCAACGGCAUUUUCGAGCAAAAAAGCUAAUAGGAUUGCAGAGUUUGGCACAGCAGCGGAGCAAAGUGAAACCAAGAGGCAC